AUGAUGAAGUUCGCUAGAACUGAGAGGUGAUGACGCCCAGGGUAUCUGA
rnacentral:snoRNA from 1 species